rnacentral:rRNA from 1 species
GUCGAGGGGCAGCAUGAACUUAGCUUGCUAAGUUUGAUGGCGACCGGCGCACGGGUGAGUAACACGUAUCCAACCUGCCGAUGACUCGGGGAUAGCCUUUCGAAAGAAAGAUUAAUACCCGAUGGCAUAGUUCUUCCGCAUGGUAGAACUAUUAAAGAAUUUCGGUCAUCGAUGGGGAUGCGUUCCAUUAGGUUGUUGGCGGGGUAACGGCCCACCAAGCCUUCGAUGGAUAGGGGUUCUGAGAGGAAGGUCCCCCACAUUGGAACUGAGACACGGUCCAAACUCCUACGGGAGGCAGCAGUGAGGAAUAUUGGUCAAUGGACGAGAGUCUGAACCAGCCAAGUAGCGUGAAGGAUGACUGCCCUAUGGGUUGUAAACUUCUUUUAUACGGGAAUAAAGUGAGGCACGUGUGCCUUUUUGUAUGUACCGUAUGAAUAAGGAUCGGCUAACUCCGUGCCAGCAGCCGCGGUAAUACGGAGGAUCCGAGCGUUAUCCGGAUUUAUUGGGUUUAAAGGGAGCGUAGGCGGACGCUUAAGUCAGUUGUGAAAGUUUGCGGCUCAACCGUAAAAUUGCAGUUGAUACUGGGUGUCUUGAGUACAGUAGAGGCAGGCGGAAUUCGUGGUGUAGCGGUGAAAUGCUUAGAUAUCACGAAGACUCCGAUUGCGAAGGCAGCUUGCUGGACUGUAACUGACGCUGAUGCUCGAA